ACGCACCUGAAUUCAAUGUGCUUCUAAAAUUAGAGGCAUCAAAUGCAAGGAAAAGGAAAAUUAAGCGGCCACGAGUUUUUAGGCCUGUUACCAGAUCAUCACAGCUUUAUGCUAGAACUGAAUGUCAGCUGCCUACUUUGCCUUGGUUCUUCUUUUUGUAAGUAAUCUCUCUUGCAUAGUAGUUUGAGUUAGAAUGACAAAGUGGCAAAUGGUGGAAGGUAUACAAGUUGUAUGAAGAUGAUUACUAUUUGCUAAUACUCUGCUUCCAUAUUUUACUUUGAAAUAAUAAUACUGAGUUGAGUAGUUAUUGUCCUGUGUUUAUUAUGAUUUCCUGGAAGAGGAGACAUUAUUUGAAAAGCCUGGUAUAGAAGUUUUGAACGAUUGUAGGCAGUUCUCUGUUUAUAUUUUGCUUAUGUGGUCAUAAGCAUGUUUCUCAUGUCUAAUUCCCUUGGUCUGUAAUAUAUGAAUAAACAGAAUAAUAAAGCACAGUUCAUUCAAACAGCAUGAAAACAUUUAAUAAAAAGUCAGGGAGAGAAAACAAAAUAAAACCAGAAUAACAUUUAUAAUGGGAAGGUCUGUAUGAGGAGAUAGACUUCCAACAGGUGUCUAAUAAUAGGCAUCUCAUGGAUUUCAAGGUGAGAGCAUUUUGGGAAGAACAACAUACUUGCCAGUACCCCCAAACUGACACUUUAACUAUUAUUGCAUAUUUAUAAGGACCUUUAUCCUUAUGUUGGGAAGCCACUGAAGAUCUUGAAGUAGAAUAUUUUUUUAAAUAUGGCACAUCAUUUCUUUGUCUAUUACAUUGGUUUUUAGUAUUUUUGUAGAAGAACGUACCAAAGUGGAGUUUAAUAACUCUGUCUUAUUUCAUUUAUUAUAUUUGGCAAGCUGCAGAAGAUAAUAUGGCUGGUGUCUGAUUUAAGAGUCCUGACUUUAAUUUUCUUCUUAACUGCUUUUUGAUUAAAUGGUCUCUUAACUACACAGUUCUUUGUCUUUAUUUGGAAAUACAGUAACACCAAUUUUGUUUCACGGCUGUUAUAGUAAGAAUGGCUAGAAUGGUAGCCUUACUUUUUGGAGUGGCUAUGAGAAAGUCAAGGGGUUGUGUUUUGUAUGCAAAUGUCCUAAAUGGGAUAAGCCUGAAUUGCAUAUAUACUAAAAGGAAAGAUCGGGUCUAUCCCUGAUUAGCUCUAUCCCUGUCAAUCUUUUUUUUUUUUUAAAUCAUUUUCAAGAACCUCGGGGACACCAUAGGGAGUAUGUGAGAUAGUUGCAUUCUUGUUUAGAUGGUUGUUAUUUUCCCUGCAAUCUUGUUUUUUAUGUAUUUUUAUUUUUAUUCUUUUAAAUGUUUUAAUAGUUGUAAUAUUGUUUUAGUUGUUGUUGUCUAGAGUCCAGUGACAUGGGCCCCAUAUAUGUUUGCUAAAUAAAAACCAAAUGCAGUGAAGUUUUUAGACAACCAGGAAUGCAUAUUAUAAUACUUUCUGAUCUAUUCAUCAUUUCCAGUAGUCAUUAGAAUGCAAACAAAAUAUUACUUUCCCUAGUGCCAGUCUGGCUGUAUUCCAGUGGAACAGAAAUUGCCUCCAAAAAUUGUGAGCGCUCUAUCACUGGAGGCCUUUAAGCAGAGAUUGGAUGGCCAUUUGUCUGGAAUGGUAUAGGAUUUUCUGCCUGAGCAGGAGGUUGGACUAGAAGACCUCCAAGGUCCCUUCCAACUUUGCCCUAUUCUGUCCUAUUCUAUUCCACUCUCCUGAUUGAGGUGAAUAUCAAGGCUAUCAUAUCCUAUAGCCCAGUACACACAAGCAUGGCAUUUUAGAAAAUUAGCAUAUCCACAUAAAAUGUGAAUUUAAAAUAAAUGAUUUGCAACAAUACUGAACUCUAAUGAUGUACCAUUUUCUAGUCCUGGAGACCUUUGGAUAAAAUUCAGUCUCUGUAAUUAUUUGUUUUUUUUAAUAUUUUGUUUAUCUUGUUUUUUACAUUUCCCUGAGAGCUAGAAACCUGGUUUUGUUAAAUGGCAAUAAAGUGUAUACUUUGCAGGAACAGAAGCAUCAGAUUCCAGUCAGAAAACUAGAUCUAGAUAUUGUUAAUUAGACAUGAGAAGUGCUGAACUGUCAAAUAAUGGAUAGCUAGGGACUUUAUUAUUGAUAACAGUCACUGUUGCUUGGGAAAAAAUAUUACAACAAAGGAAUUUAAUUCAGAUUUUUCUUGUAUCUCCUUUUCCUAAAAACCUCACCUCUUCUAAUUUUUUGUUUUUGAUAAAAUUAACUCUUGUAGUAACAUCAGUAUCAAUUUGGGAAGGGGUUUUAGUGCUCUCCUGAGCAUGUAACAAGUUUUUUGUGAAUGUUUUAUGCAUAGAUUUCUUUUCCACUUUUUUACAUUUCUUUGUUUUCUUAGCAUCUCUACAAAGCUGGAUUAUACUUGGAGAUAUAUGUCAAGGUUUUCUCCUGUCAACAUGGAACAUAAUUUGGGCAGAUUGGUUUGGUAAUAACUAUGACAUGAAGAUUAUGUCAACAAAAUAAGUGUUGUAAAUGAUUUGGUAAAUAGAUUCACAACUGUGUUAUAUAGUAGAAUGCUAAUCUGAUGGUCUUAGGUUCCAAAUCCUAUCUCAAUUUAUCAAACUAAAGUAAGAAAAUAUUCAUAUUUAUACAAUUUUAGGGUUCUUCUUUCUGCAAGGCAGAAAUACACAAGGUAGAUGAGUAAAAAAAUUGCAGAUUGUCUUUGUGUGGUGACCACAUGGUUCUGUUGCCUCCACUGGACCUGCCAGAAUACAGCAAUAAUUAUGCACCAUCCUGUUAUUAUCAUUACUGUUAUUAUGGUAUCCUCCUGGCAUUUAUGCUAGACACCCAUCUUUGAUUAAAAGGUAGGGGCCUUUAAGAGGGGGAGAAGAGAAAAAAAGAGAGAGGGUGUCUUCUCCUAGCACAUUAAUCUAUCAUGAGCUAAUGUGUUUUGCCCAUUCUGUUCCUUUGUACUAUCUCCAAGGCUCGUCGGCGCGGGUGCACGCACACACACAGAAACGCACACACACACACACACACACACACACGCACACACGCACACGCACACGCACACAAACACUCACACUCUCUUCUUGCACUUCUGCCACCGAUCUCUGCUGGUUGACUGGGCCUGACUCAGUCAGCAAGAGAAAGAAAGACAAACGGGCAGACAGAUCAACGAAGACAGAGGAACAAAGCCGAGACCACAAUGGGAAAUACACCAUCUCAAGGCAUGUCAAUGUUCAUCCAUUCUUAAGUAGCAGAAAAAGGACCUUUGGGAGCUUAGUGAUACAACAGCCAUAGCCUCCUUGCUGAGAAGACAACCAGUUCCAGUCAGCUGCCAAGGCUUCUGUGGAGCUAACCAUGGUACCAGGCAUCAAAUCAAACAGCUGUAGAAAAGAGGCCUGUUGUAAGAGGAAAGGUUGCUCCAAAACCAACAAAGGGCAAAUUUAACUAAAUAAAAAUGAAACAAUCUGAGAUUUACAUGUGGAAACUGAUUCUUCUUUUUGCUGCAUAUUGAUUUGUAGCAUGCAGGCAUUGCUGGAGACAGUCCUGCCUCCCUAAAGAGCUUCCCUUCCUGUGUAGAAAUCCAAGGAAUAGAGAAACACAUUUUAUUCAUAAAGAAGGGCUGCCUAUGAAUGUUUCUGGCAUCAUACAUAGAAGGGCUGCCUGUCUGUUGGGAGAAAAUCUUUGCCCUGACCCAAGGCAAAGAGGUUACCAAAGUAGCAGUGUCAAGAAAAUGGAUUUUUUUUUGUCUAUCCUGUAUAUACUUUUUCCUCUCCUUUCAGAAGAUUGCUCCAGAGAUGACAAAGCACACAGUGGCAAGUGCAACCAGAUCUUCAUUCCCCUGAAUAAAUGGAGUUAUACAUUUACUUUUCCAAUGCUGGAACAUCAAUCUUUUAGCUAUAGUAAAGGCAUACGAAUUUAAUUUACAUUUUAUGAUUUGUACUCAGAAGACUUUUCUUUGUAGAAAAUAAUAAAAAAGCAUGCAAUUAUUUUAAUAUAUUUUUUAAAAAAUUCCUAAUUUGUUAGUAUUUUCAUAAAAGCAUUAUUUUAAAAAACAGGAUGCAAAUUAUUAAAAUAAAAAUGAAUAAGUUGAGGCAUUUCUUAAUCACCUUGCAUUCUAUACAUUUUGUUGUAUUUGUGUGCAUACAUCUGGAAAACAAGAUGGAUGAAAAGGUCACAGUUUUAAUAAUAUAGGUUGUGGAUAUAUGUUUGAAAGCACAUUAUUUCAGCUCUUGCAGAUUUCGUAUUGAAGAGAGAAACAUAUACGAUUUUCAAGAAGGUAGGAUCCAAAUCUAGUACUGUAGAUACUACCUUUUCUAAAAUGUCACCUAAUUCUUGUAUAGCUCCUUAAUUCAAUGUUAUUUUUAAUUUAUUUUUAUUGCUUUUGAAUUAAUAAUGAAAAAGCAAAACAGCAAAACAGAAAGCUAAUAAUUCAAGUACAAAUAUGUAUCUUUAAAUAUUUAUUUUUUAUAUAAAUGAGUCCUAUAUUUAUUUAUGUUUGUCUAUACAAAUCUCAUGUGUUGUCAAUUGCCCAUGUACUAGGUAUAUACUGUAGUUCAAAAACAUAUUAUCUCCUGAAAAUUUUAGCUAUUGUAACACAGCAAUAUUUAUAUAAUCCACUACUUUCUUACAAAAUCUGGCAAGUAUAUGACGUUGUAAAGAUAUAUCCUUAUUAUAUCUCCAACCAAGUGCUAUUCUUUGUUAAUCUUUUUCUAUGCAAACAUAAGGGAGUUUAAUAAAUUCUAAAUAUUAUUUCUUCUUGUAUAACUCAUAAUCUGCAGUGCAUUGACACUCUUGCUUUAGAGCAGGGGUGUCAAACUGCUGGUCCGCGGGCCGGAUGCAUUAUCCGGAAGCCACACCCACCCCAUUGCCAGAAAUGACAAAACUGUCCAAUACAUUGCGCGACGUCAUGUGACAUCGUGAGUUUGACAUGUCUGCUUUAGAGGACACUUUCCCAAUGUCUAGGCAAUAUAAGAACUUCUGCUUUAUGUUUCACUAAUUUCUUUGCACCUAUCAGAUUGAUUUAACAAGAGGGUUUUUUUUUUUAGUUUUAAAGGAUUUAAUCUUUAAAUGCUGCUAGUUCAAAUAAUGUUGUUAACAGAUUUUGUAAUUAUAAAUAUUGCUAUUAGGUUAAAUCUGAUAAAUGGUAUUUGUCUCUUAAUGAGGAGUUAUGUUAAAAAUCUUCAUCUUCUAUCAGUUGGUCCAAAGUCAAUAUUCCUUCCUAUUUUUUCAUAUCACCAUCUUUUCUCCAAUUUUUAAAGUUGGGUUGCCCCAUAGAGCAUGGGGGAAAAGGUCAACUCUUUUUUUUAUUAGACAUUUCAUUCCAUAGUUUUCUAAUUCACACAGUGCUUCCAGAGAUACCCCAGUUUUUGUAUAUUUAAAUCCUAAUACUGUCUGUCCAACCAAAGGUGUUAUAUAUAUACUGUAUAUUCCAAAAUUACUGAAAUAAAAAAUUAACACCAAUUAUUGGUUUUCAGUAUUUAAUAUAUGACAAUCAGUAAGCAUGAUGAUAUACAGUAGCUCCCUCAUUAGCUGGUAAUUUUCUGUAAAAAUAAAAAUAAAAAAAUCUAUAGAAAUUUUUCUAAACAAGUAAUUUAUUUUCUGGAAAUAUUUUCUAGAUAUAGAAACUGGAAUUUUUCUCAUUGUAUAAAUUAAUCUGGGAAUAAUAUUCAAUUUGAGAGUUCAGUCUUCUCUAGAAGAUAAGGCUUAGUGACCCCCAUCUAUCAAUAUUUGAAAAAAAACAAUAGAUAUCUUUUACUACAUAUUAUUGAGUUUAAUUCUUUGUAUAUGCAUGCCUAAAUAUUAAAUGGAUUCUGUGCAAAUAUGGAAUUGCUAUUCUUUGAAUGGACGGGUAAGAUAAUUUUCACCUAUUGGUAUCAAUUCUGAUUUGGACCAAUUAAUAGAGUAGCCUGCCAGUUUGCUAAAGCCAUCUAUCUUUUGCAUCAAUAGUGGGAUAGAAGGUUUAGAAAUAAAGAAAAGAAUGUUGUCUGCAAAUAGGAACAAUUUGUGUUCAACUUAAUACUGUACCAUACUAUGUUGACUAAGUUGACUAAUAGCAGAAACCAAGAUAUUAAAAAACAAGUGUGAAACUGCAUAUCCUUGCCUAAUUCUUCUGAAUAGUGAAAAAGUAGGAGAAAAUACGUCAUUAAUCUUUAUUUUUGAUAUGGGCAACUAAUACUAUGUCUUAAUUCAUUUUAUGAAUUCCAGAGGAAACCCAAAUCUGUUUAGUAUAGCAAAUAUAUACUCUUUAUGUUUUUGUCAAGAAAUUUUCCAACAUCUAAUGAUAAAAUUACAAUGAUUUUUAUUUUGUUCAAGUUCAUUAGAUCGACAGUAUAUUUAAUCUAAUAUUGGUUUCUGUUUGCCUAGUUUUUAUAAAUGCUGCUUGAUCAUUUUUAAUAAUAAAUAAUAUCACUUGCUGUAAUCUAUUCACUAACAUGCUUUUAAAGUUUUUGUAUCAACAUUAAUCAAUGAGAUUAGAUGAUAACUAGCACUCUGUGUAAGCAUUAUCUGCUUUCAGUAUAACUGUAAUAUAAGUGUUGUUAAAAGCUGGUGGUAAAAUUCCAUUAUUAAAUAUCUCUUCAUAAAUUGACAAAGUUUUGGCACCAAAAGAUCUAUAAAUUUUUUACAUCCUCAACAGGGAAUCUAAUUUUGUGUUGUUGCACUCACCAUUUAAAAAAAUAUUUAUUUAUUUAAUGUGCUCCAUCUCUGGUCUAAAAUGAUGGAGCAAAUGAAAGUUGUUUUGUGUUUAUCUAAAUGUGGUAAAUUUAAUUUUAUUUAAAAAGAUCUCACUCAAUAAAUUUUCUGAUUUACUAUACCAUUCUGAAUAAAAAAUUUAAAAUAU